UACGAAGGGUGCAAGCGUUACUCGGAAUUACUGGGCGUAAAGCGUGCGUAGGUGGUUCGUUAAGUCUGUCGUGAAAGCCCCGGGCUCAACCUGGGAAUGGCGAUGGAUACUGGCGGGCUAGAGUGCGGUAGAGGAGACUGGAAUUUACGGUGUAGCGGUGAAAUGCGUAGAUAUCGUAAGGAAGACCAGUGGCGAAGGCGGGUCUCUGGACAGUUCCUGACGCUGAGGCACGAAGGCCAGGGGAGCAAACGGG
rnacentral:rRNA from 1 species